GAAUUCGCCCUUAGAGUUUGAUCCUGGCUCAGGACGAACGCUGGCGGCGUGCUUAACACAUGCAAGUCGAACGGAGGUUACGAGGAAGCUUGCGAAUUGUAACCUUAGUGGCGGACGGGUGAGUAACGCGUGGAUAACCUGCCUGACAGACCGGGACAACACCGGGAAACUGGUGCUAAUACCGGAUACGCUCAAGAGUGCCCAUGCACACUUGAGGAAAGGAGCAAUCCGCUGACAGAUGGGUCCGCGUCCCAUUAGCUAGUUGGAGGUGUAAAGGACCACCAAGGCGACGAUGGGUAGCCGGCCUGAGAGGGUGGACGGCCACACUGGAACUGAGACACGGUCCAGACUCCUACGGGAGGCAGCAGUGGGGAAUCUUCCGCAAUGGGCGAAAGCCUGACGGAGCAACGCCGCGUGAGUGAUUAAGGCCUUCGGGUUGUAAAACUCUGUCAUCAGGGAAGAAAAUAAUGACGGUACCUGAGGAGGAAGCCCCGGCUAACUACGUGCCAGCAGCCGCGGUAAAACGUAGGGGGCGAGCGUUGUCCGGAAUUACUGGGCGUAAAGGGCGCGUAGGCGGUUGUCCAAGUCAGAGGUGAAAACUCUGGGCUCAACUCAGAGCGUGCCUCUGAAACUGGGCGACUUGAGGGCAGGAGAGGGGAGUGGAAUUCCCAGUGUAGCGGUGAAAUGCGUAGAUAUUGGGAGGAACACCAGUGGCGAAGGCGACUCUCUGGCCUGUUUCUGACGCUGAGGCGCGAAAGCGUGGGGAGCUAACGGGAUUAGAUACCCCGGUAGUCCACGCCGUAAACGAUGGGUGCUAGGUGUAGGAGGUAUCGACCCC
rnacentral:rRNA from 1 species